CAGCCGCGGUAAUACGGAAGGUCCAGGCGUUAUCCGGAUUUAUUGGGUUUAAAGGGAGUGUAGGCGGUUUGUUAAGCGUGUUGUGAAAUUUAGGUGCUCAACAUUUAACUUGCAGCGCGAACUGUCAGACUUGAGUACACGCAACGUAUGCGGAAUUCAUGGUGUAGCGGUGAAAUGCUUAGAUAUCAUGAAGAACUCCGAUUGCGAAGGCAGCAUACGGGAGUGUAACUGACGCUUAAGCUCGAAGGUGCGGGUAUCGAACAGGAUUAGAUACCCUGGUAGUCCGCACAGUAAACGAUGGAUGCCCGCUGUUAGCGCCUGGCGUUAGCGGCUAAGCGAAAGCAUUAAGCAUCCCACCUGGGGAGUACGCCGGCAACGGUGAAACUCAAAGGAAUUGACGGGGGCCCGCACAAGCGGAGGAACAUGUGGUUUAAUUCGAUGAUACGCGAGGAACCUUACCCGGGCUUGAAUUGCAGAGGAAUUAUUUAGAGAUA
rnacentral:rRNA from 1 species